rnacentral:lncRNA from 1 species
UGCUGGGCAACUGUGAAGGUCUGAAAUCAUCUAGUGAAUGGAUUUGGUGCAGAGUAAGUGCAUGGGAUCCUUGACAUCUCCUCCACCAGGAAAGAAAGCUGGACUGCGCAGGUCGGGAAGAUUCCGGGGAGAUGCACAGCCUUCGCGUUCUGGGCUCAUCUGGCCUUCAACGUGUGAUUUUGAGAGUUGGAAGCGAGAAGAUUAUAACUCAGAAUGGCACGCGGGUGUGAAGCCGGCUGCCUUGCCAGCUAUUUGCCUGUAUUUAAAACACAUAUGGGUGAUAUUUUUAAAUAUCUUUGCUGUGUGAUUGAAAAACAUUGCAGUUGCUACUUCGUGGACGUGGGUUUUUAUGCAAACCCAGGGACGGAAUGAUGAGUGUAUGUUGUACCUAC